GAUGAAGAACGUAGCGAAAUGCGAUAAGUAAUGUGAAUUGCAGAAUUCAGUGAAUCAUCGAAUCUUUGAACGCACAUCGCGCCCUCUGGUAUUCCGGGGGGCAUGCCUGUUCGAGCGUCAUUAUAACCACUCAAGCUCUCGCUUGGUAUUGGGGUUCGCGGUUCCGCGGCCCCUAAAAUCAGUGGCGGUGCCUGUCGGCUCUACGCGUAGUAAUACUCCUCGCGAUUGAGUCCGGUAGGUCUACUUGCCAGCAACCCCCAAUUUUUACAGGUUGACCUCGGAUCAGGUAGGGAUACCCGCUGAACUUAAGCAUAUCAAUAAGCGGAGGA
rnacentral:misc_RNA from 1 species